AGAGCGAACGCUGGCGGCAUGCUUAACACAUGCAAGUCGCACGGGCAGGGGAAACCCUGUCAGUGGCGGACGGGUGAGUAACGCGUAGGUAUCUAUCCUUGGGUGGGGGAUAACGGUUGGAAACGACUGCUAAUACCGCAUGAUAACUGAGGUUUAAAGGCGCAAGUCGCCUGGGGAGGAGCCUGCGUACGAUUAGCUUGUUGGUGGGGUAAAGGCCUACCAAGGCGACGAUCGUUAGCUGGUCUGAGAGGAUGAUCAGCCACAUUGGGACUGAGACACGGCCCAAACUCCUACGGGAGGCAGCAGUGGGGAAUAUUGGACAAUGGGCGAAAGCCUGAUCCAGCAAUGCCGCGUGUGUGAAGAAGGUCUUCGGAUUGUAAAAGCACUUUCGACAGGGACGAUGAUGACGGUACCUGUAGAAGAAGCCCCGGCUAACUUCGUGCCAGCAGCCGC
rnacentral:rRNA from 1 species